CCGUGCUAGGUGGGGAGGUAGCGGUUCCCUGUACUCGAAAUCCGCUUUAUGCGAGACUUAAUUCCUUUGUUGAGGGCGUAUUUUUGUGAAGUCUUAAGUGGACUCUCAUAUGUGCCGUAGGGUAGCCGAGAUUUAGCUAACGACUUCGGUAACGUUUGUGAUAUACGUUCGAUACAAAGGUGCACGG
rnacentral:SRP_RNA from 1 species